CUAACACAUGCAAGUCGAGCGGUAACAGAGAGUAGCUUGCUACUUUGCUGACGAGCGGCGGACGGGUGAGUAAUGCUUGGGAAUAUGCCUUAUGGUGGGGGACAACAGUUGGAAACGACUGCUAAUACCGCAUGAUGUCUUUGGACCAAAGUGGGGGACCUUCGGGCCUCACGCCAUAAGAUUAGCCCAAGUGGGAUUAGCUAGUUGGUGAGGUAAUGGCUCACCAAGGCGACGAUCCCUAGCUGGUUUGAGAGGAUGAUCAGCCACACUGGGACUGAGACACGGCCCAGACUCCUACGGGAGGCAGCAGUGGGGAAUAUUGCACAAUGGGCGCAAGCCUGAUGCAGCCAUGCCGCGUGUGUGAAGAAGGCCUUCGGGUUGUAAAGCACUUUCAGUAAGGAGGAAAGGUUAAGUGUUAAUAGCACUUAGCUGUGACGUUACUUACAGAAGAAGCACCGGCUAACUCCGUGCCAGCAGCCGCGGUAAUACGGAGGGUGCGAGCGUUAAUCGGAAUUACUGGGCGUAAAGCGUACGCAGGCGGUUUGUUAAGCGAGAUGUGAAAGCCCCGGGCUCAACCUGGGAACUGCAUUUCGAACUGGCAAACUAGAGUGUGAUAGAGGGUGGUAGAAUUUCAGGUGUAGCGGUGAAAUGCGUAGAGAUCUGAAGGAAUACCGAUGGCGAAAGGCAGCCACCUGGGUCAACACUGACGCUCAUGUACGAAAGCGUGGGGAGCAAACAGGAUUAGAUACCCU
rnacentral:rRNA from 1 species